CCCCACUCAGAAUGGUUACUGGACAAGGGAGCAGACAGCUACUUCCGCUGAAACUGUAUGCACCGCAAGAUCCGGACUCCAUAUGCCCCUAAUCUUUCUCCACUUUAGGAGGACCGCCCCUGAAUACGGUCAUGCCCCCUAUGUUGUUCAAAGAUGUAUUCUUUCGAGCAAUUCCAAACCCUUGCAGGCCCGGCUGAUCCCAAAGCUCCCAGCUUGAAAGAUCAAUCCACAGCAAGCCGCUUGCACCAAGCCUGCGAACUGCCGUGCAGAGGAUCUCGAACAACAAUGCAGCUCCUAGAUUAGAGCUACUUUUCAGGAUGGGUCAUAUCUCGGGCGAUUAACUUCCGAAAUUACACCUCUCAAGCUUA
rnacentral:lncRNA from 1 species